rnacentral:lncRNA from 1 species
GUCUAGACCAGUGCUGUCCAAUAGAACAUUUCUGCAGUGACAAGAAUGUUCUAUAUCGUCACUAUCCAAUAGGGUAACACGAGCCAUGUGUGGCUACUGAACACUUGAAACGUGGUCAGUGAGACUGGGGAAGUGAAUUUUCAGUAUUCUUUAACUUUAAUUAAUAGGCACAUGUGGCUAAUGGCUACCAUACUGGACACCUGUAAUCCCAGCUACUCAGGAGGGUGAGGCAGGAGAAUCAUUUGAACCCGGGAGGUGGAGGUUGCAGUGAGCCAAGAUUGUGCCACUACACUCCAGCCUGGGCAACAAGAGCAAAACUGUCUCAAAAAAAAAAAAAAAAAAAAAAGAUUAGGUAGAGGACUAAGAAGCCUAAGAAGCCAUGAAAACUGAGGGAAACUAGGUCACGGACCACGGGGUAAGAGUUAACACAAUUUGUUUUGGGGAGUCAGAAGACAAAAAUAGGAGGGAGAAGGGAGGAGGUAAGCCUGAGUCUCACCUCUGGGUAGGACCACUCUGGGGAGAAGUCUGUGAUGGUGCUAAGAGCAGGAGACAGCUGGGGGGUCGGAGCAGGGAUGCUUGGAGCUUCGUCACUGAUGAGUUCUCCCAUAAGGUCUGGGAAUGAUGAAAGACUG